rnacentral:rRNA from 1 species
GAUGAACGCUGGCGGCGUGCCUAAUACAUGCAAGUCGAGCGAACGGACGAGAAGCUUGCUUCUCUGAUGUUAGCGGCGGACGGGUGAGUAACACGUGGAUAACCUACCUAUAAGACUGGGAUAACUUCGGGAAACCGGAGCUAAUACCGGAUAAUAUUUUGAACCGCAUGGUUCAAAAGUGAAAGACGGUCUUGCUGUCACUUAUAGAUGGAUCCGCGCUGCAUUAGCGAGUUGGUAAGGUAACGGCUUACCAAGGCAACGAUGCAUAGCCGACCUGAGAGGGUGAUCGGCCACACUGGAACUGAGGCACGGUCCAGACUCCUACGGGAGGCAGCAGUAGGGAAUCUUCCGCAAUGGGCGAAAGCCUGACGGAGCAACGCCGCGUGAGUGAUGAAGGUCUUCGGAUCGUAAAACUCUGUUAUUAGGGAAGAACAUAUGUGUAAGUAACUGUGCACAUCUUGACGGUACCUAAUCAGAAAGCCACGGCUAACUACGUG